AAGUCGAACGGAGCCUUCGCAAGGAGGCUGAGUGGCGCACGGGUGAGGAACACGUAGCUGACCUGCCUUCGAGCGGGGGAUAACGUCCCGAAAGGGAUGCUAAGACCGCGUAAGCUCACGGGAACUAGAGACCCGCGAGAAAAAGCUACGGCUACUCGAAGAGGGGGCUGCGGCCCAUCAGGUAGUUGGGGGGGUAACGGCCCACCAAGCCGACGACGGGUCGGGGAUCUGAGAGGAUGAUCCCCCACACUGGGACUGAGACACGGCCCAGACUCCUACGGGAGGCAGCAGUGAGGGAUAUUGCACAAUGGGGGAAACCCUGAUGCAGCGACGCCGCGUGUUUUUUGAAGGUCUUCGGAUCGUAAAGCCCUUUUCUGCGUGACGAGACAAGGACGGUAGCGCAGGAAGAAGUCUCGGCUAACUACGUGCCAGCAGCCGCGGUAC
rnacentral:rRNA from 1 species